GUAGGGGGCAAGCGUUGUCCGGAAUCAUUGGGCGUAAAGCGCGUGUAGGCGGCCAAGUAAGUCCGCUGUGAAAACUCGAGGCUCAACUUCGAGCUGUCGGUGGAAACUAUUUGGCUAGAGUCCGGAAGAGGAGAGUGGAAUUCCUGGUGUAGCGGUGAAAUGCGCAGAUAUCAGGAAGAACACCCGUGGCGAAAGCGGCUCUCUAGGACGGUACUGACGCUGAGACGCGAAAGCGUGGGGAGCAAACAGGAUUAGAUACCCUGGUAGUCCACGCCGUAAACGAUGGGUGCUAGGUGUGGGCGGUGUCGACUCCGUCCGUGCCGAAGCUAACGCAUUAAGCACCCCGCCUGGGGAGUACGGCCGCAAGGCUAAA
rnacentral:rRNA from 1 species